UUUAGAACUGUGAUCCUCAUUGCAAGAGGAUUAAGAGGCAAAGAGUCCGGUUCAUCUAGCGGACAAGCCGGAGGGAAUUCACGAGGAAAAGGCGUGCUCUAAAGGUAAACUAGCAGAAGGGUGAUGAUCAAGCACAUGCAUCUGAACCGAACACACUAACAAACGCUUCCGCACAUGAUCUUUAGUUUUAAAAACUAUGUAAACAAUUGUAGUUAUCCUUUUGAUUACGGUUUCGUAAGA